rfam:Caenorhabditis tropicalis strain JT1373 unplaced genomic scaffold Scaffold630, whole genome shotgun sequence.
GUCGGUUUCGGAGACAUGGUCCCCAAAACCUACCUGGGAAUGCUAGUAGGCUCCCUGUGUGCACUCAUGGGAGUCCUAACAAUUGCUCUCCCUGUCCCAGUCAUCGUCUCAAAC